rnacentral:lncRNA from 1 species
CAAAAGUGCUUGAUUACAGCUAGAUUUUACACCCCCGUGGAACUCAACUACUACUCAGUAAACUAAGCCAUGAGAGCCAUGAGAGAGAACUGGGAGUUGGAGAAGAAGAAGAAGAAGAAGAAGAUGAUGAUGAUGAUGAUGAUGAUGAUGAUGAUGAAUGGUAAUAUAAAGGACAAGAAAAGAUGAGAGAAAGGAAUAGUAAGAGAGAGGUGUAGUCCCUUUCUUUUGGUUUGAGGUUGCUUUUGAAACUUUGUUUGAUCAAUCCUAGAAAUCUUGAAAGGUUUAUGAUGCUGGUGGUAAGCUUUUGUUCCCUUUGCUUUUCUGAAUUUUAUUUCAUUUUUCCAGAAAAAGGGGAAGCAACUCCUAGACAACCCACCAUUAAUCCUACAGACAAGCUAGCCAAGGUAAAAUGGUAAAUGGGUAAGUAUAAGAAAACUUGUUUAGGGGUUUUAUGGAAUCAGAAAGAAGUUGAAAGUGAAAGAGAGAGAGAAGGGAGAUGAUUGAUGCAGACAGGAUAAAGCUAUUGGGUUAAAAAUAUGAGGGAAUAACAUGAUUUU